rnacentral:rRNA from 1 species
GACAGAGGGUGCAAACGUUGUUCGGAAUUACUGGGCGUAAAGCGCGUGUAGGCUGCUCGGAAAGUCGGAUGUGAAAGCCCUGGGCUUAACCUAGGAAGUGCAUUCGAAACUUCCGAGCUGGAGUUCUGGAGAGGAAGGCGGAAUUCUCGGUGUAGAGGUGAGAUUCGUAGAUAUCGAGAGGAACACCGGUGGCGAAGGCGGCCUUCUGGACAGUGACUGACGCUGAGACGCGAAAGCGUGGGGAGCAAACAGG